rnacentral:rRNA from 1 species
GACGAACGCUGGCGGCGUGCUUAACACAUGCAAGUCGAACGGUGAAGCGCCUUCCUUUUUGGUGGGUGUGGAUGAGUGGCGAACGGGUGAGUAACACGUGAGUAACCUGCCCCCUUCUUCUGGAUAACCGCAUGAAAGUGUGGCUAAUACGGGAUAUUCUGGGUCUGUCGCAUGAUGGGUCUGGGAAAGAUAUUGUUUCGGUGGGGGAUGGGCUCGCGGCCUAUCAGCUUGUUGGUGGGGUGAUGGCCUACCAAGGCGGUGACGGGUAGCCGGCCUGAGAGGGUGGACGGUCACACUGGGACUGAGACACGGCCCAGACUCCUACGGGAGGCAGCAGUGGGGAAUAUUGCACAAUGGGCGCAAGCCUGAUGCAGCGACGCCGCGUGAGGGAUGGAGGCCUUCGGGUUGUGAACCUCUUUCGCCAGUGAAGCAGGCCUGCCUCGUUUGUGGGUGGGUUGACGGUAGCUGGAUAAGAAGCGUCGGCUAACUACGUG